rnacentral:tRNA from 1 species
GGUGGCUCAGUGGUAGAGUGCUUGCCUUGCAUGCAUAAAGCCCUGGGUUCGAUUCCCUAGCACCA